rnacentral:rRNA from 1 species
CCUACGGGAGGCUGCAGUGAGGAAUAUUGGUCAAUGGACGAGAGUCUGAACCAGCCAAGUAGCGUGAAGUAUGACUGCCCUAUGGGUUGUAAACUUCUUUUAUAUGGGAAUAAAAUGUUCCACGUGUGGGAUUUUGUAUGUACCAUAUGAAUAAGGAUCGGCUAACUCCGUGCCAGCAGCCGCGGUAAUACGGAGGAUCCGAGCGUUAUCCGGAUUUAUUGGGUUUAAAGGGAGCGUAGGUGGAUUGUUAAGUCAGUUGUGAAAGUUUGCGGCUCAACCGUAAAAUUGCAGUUGAAACUGGCAGUCUUGAGUACAGUAGAGGUGGGCGGAAUUCGUGGUGUAGCGGUGAAAUGCUUAGAUAUCACGAAGAACUCCGAUUGCGAAGGCAGUUCACUGGACUGCAACUGACACUGAGGCUCGAAAGUGUGGGUAUCAAACAGGAUUAGAUACCCGUGUAGUC